GUACCAAACAAUCAGCUUCUAAAAAUAGGAGAAUCAAGAACAGAAGCAGCCGAUUGGAUCAACAAAAAUAUAGUCCCAUAUCUCCCAUCAACUAACAUCACAUAUAUUGCUGUUGGCAAUGAAGUCCUCACAUCAAUCCCAAAUGCUGCUCUUGUUUUUGUUCCAGCAAUGGAAUUCCUUCAGUCUGCUCUUGUAGCUGCCAACCUCAAUCACCAAGUGAAAAUCUCGAGUCCUCAAUCCAUGGACAUGAUACCCAAAUCUUUCCCUCCAUCUACCGCCACCUUCAAUUCUUCAUGGGACUCUAUAAUGUUUAAGUUCCUCCAAUUCUUGAAGAAUACAGGAUCUACUUACAUGCUAAAUGCACAACCGUAUCACGCUUACAUAAAAGGAAACGAUAUCUUUCCUAUAGAGUAUGCUCUUUUUAGGUCUCUAACUCCAAAUAAUCAAAUUGUGGACCCAAACACACUAUUUCAAUAUACCAACAUGUUUGAUGCAAUGGUCGAUGCUUCGUACUUUUCUAUGCAAGCGAUGAAUUUUUCAAAUAUCCCUGUUCUUGUAACAGCAUCAGGGUGGCCAUCAUUCGGUGGUGCGAUUGAACCCGAUGCUACUGUUGAUCUUUACACCUUAUUUCCGCACGAAUUAUUGAAGAUGGACUGAUGCAUAUGGUGAUCUGUCGUGUCAUCUUGGGAAGCACAGAUUCAAUACUUCCCGGCUCAAGACAAACAAGUCCAAUUUCAGGAGAUUUUGAUUAUGGUGUAGAUAACCAGCAAACUCCUUCAAAGUAUAGUCUGCUAUCCACAUGUCAAGACGCAUGUACUGCCUCUUUAUGCGGUUACUUUCAAAAUAAAUCUUAAUUCAGGAGAGUUGCAGAUAGAAUUAGAUGCCACAGUGCCGGCUUCAAUUGGAUAAUAAAGUACUCCAAUUUCUUGAGCAUCAGGAUACCAGCCAGCUCCUUAUUUCCAUUGUUUUGACAGCUAUAAUUUGAAGAACUUACCACCAUUGAAUACAUGAAGACAACAAUGAGGCCAGCACGAAAGGAGUUGCCAGUUCAAAAGCGUUAGAGGUGGCAAAAGGAAAGAAUUGAUCUUAUGACAUCUUCAUUUCCUGCUUGAUGAAUUGAAAAUGUGCUGUAUACAACUCUCUCAACUGCGGAAACUACAACAAGUUUCAAGGAACAGACUGAUUGGCUAUCUGGAAUGGUAGACGUUUGGAUAUUCAAAUAUGAUUAGCUAUCUGGAACAAUGGUUGUUUGGAUAUUCAAAUACUAAUUGUGUAUGAUUUAAAAUAACAAAAUGGUUACGAGAUUGGCAAAAUACAGAAAAUACCUAAUUAAGCACCAUUAUCGAUUGAUACAUUUCUAUUUUUAA